UACGGGGGGGGCAAGCGUUGUUCGGAAUUACUGGGCGUAAAGGGCGCGUAGGCGGUUGGAUAAGUCAGCUGUGAAAACCACGGGCUUAACUCGUGGCCUGCAGUUGAGACUGUCUGGCUUGAGUGUGGGAGAGGAGAGUGGAAUUCCUGGUGUAGCGGUGAAAUGCGUAGAUAUCAGGAGGAACACCGGUGGCGAAGGCGGUCUGCUGGGCAGUUUCGUGACACUGAGGCGCGACAGCGUGGGGAGCAAACAGG
rnacentral:rRNA from 1 species